rnacentral:lncRNA from 1 species
GGAAUUUGAAUAAGAGGCCUUAUGUAUGGAUUUUUAUUGAUUUAAACUACAUUGUAAGCCUUAUCCAAAUGCUUAUUUUUCAAGUGACAGUCCAAAUGUUUUGCCCUUCAUCACUUUAGACCUACUUACAGAACAUGCUUGUUGUAUUGAUAAUUUGGUUUUGUCUUGAAUAUUCGUGAAAGAAUUAUACUGGCCAUCCAGUCUUAUUGAGUCCACACAAAUACGGUAGGCGACCAUGACAUUGAACUGUAUUCAGUGGCCAUGAAUUUAAAAGCUUCUUUGGCUUGUAAAAAAGGGUGACUCAUUUAUUUAAACAAAAGACCAGCCUACAGUUACUUUAAAUUAUCAAUUUCAUAGGCGGAUGCAGGGGAUGGGAACCGGCCCCCCCUUUCGUGGGAAAAUUUUGGUUGAUUGCAUAGAGAAUCACUGAAGCAUGACUGGAGCGGGCCCCCCUAAAAUCAGUCAGUGUCCCCCCUUAUGAAAAGUUCUGGAUCCGCCACUGAAUUUUUACCCCAAGGGUGACUGGGGAAUAGAAAUAUGGUCACCUGGUCUUCAGACCGGCAGUAAAACCCUGACCAGGGCAGGCUAUGCAGGAUGUACAAGUACUCACCCAAGUCUGAUCAGAGUGUGAACCUUAAAUUUGAAGCUUUGAUCUGUAGUUAAUGUAUUGGAAAAUCAGAACAUUCAAGAAGUAUUGGCAUAUUUGUUUUACGAGCAGAAUAUCAGAGACAUGAAUUUUAGGUUUGUGGGCAUUGUUUCGGUUGAUUGCAUAUGAAUGUUUAUAGAAGCUGAAUUUUGUCAAUCCUAGAGAAUUGGAUAAUCCCUUCGGGGAAUUGGGUACCGCAGAGAGGGUUUUUCUGUUUGACCGCCAACACAAUCAGAAAAAUUCUGCCUAGGUAUCUUAAACCCCAAAGUGAUUAUCUGGUUCUCAAGGAUU